rnacentral:rRNA from 1 species
CAGUAGCCACGUUAAUACCGGCGGCUCGAGUGGUGGCCGAUAUUAUUGAGUCUAAAGGGUCCGUAGCCGGCUUUGCAAGUCUUGUGGGAAAUCCAGCGGCUUAACCGUUGGGCGUCCGCGAGAUACUACAUUGCUUGGGACUGGGAGAGGUAAGAGGUACUCAGGGGGUAGGAGUGAAAUCCUGUAAUCCUUUGGGGACCACCGGUGGCGAAGGCGUCUUACCAGAACAGGUCCGACGGUGAGGGACGAAAGCUAGGGGCACGAACCGGAUUAGAUACCCCAGUAGUCC